UACGGGAAUUUCCACAAUGGACGAAAGUCUGACGGAGCGACGCCGCGUGAGUGAAGAAGGUCUUCGGAUCGUAAAACUCUGUCCUUGGGGACGAAAAAAUGACGGUACCCAAGGAGGAAGCCACGGCUAACUACGUGCCAGCAGCCGCGGUAAUAA
rnacentral:rRNA from 1 species